GCUGGCGGCGUGCCUAACACAUGCAAGUCGAACGAGAAAGUGGAGCAAUCCAUGAGUAAAGUGGCGACCGGGUGAGUAACACGUGACUAACCUACCUCCGAGUGGGGAAUAACUCCGGGAAACCGGGGCUAAUACCGCAUAACAUCGCAAGAUCAAAGCAGCAAUGCGCUUGGAGAGGGGGUCGCGGCUGAUUAGCUAGUUGGCGGGGUAACGGCCCACCAAGGCGAAGAUCGGUAUCCGGCCUGAGAGGGCGCACGGACACACUGGAACUGAAACACGGUCCAGACUCCUACGGGAGGCAGCAGUGGGGAAUUUUGCGCAAUGGGGGAAACCCUGACGCAGCAACGCCGCGUGGAGGAUGAAGCCCUUUGGGGCGUAAACUCCUUUCGACUCGGACGAUAAUGACGGUACGAGUGGAAGAAGCACCGGCUAACUCUGUGCCAGCAGCCGCGGUAAUACAGAGGGUGCGAGCGUUGUUCGGAAUUAUUGGGCGUAAAGGGCGCGUANGCGGUGCGGUAAGUCACCUGUGAAAUCUCCUGCCUU
rnacentral:rRNA from 1 species